rnacentral:rRNA from 1 species
UACGUAGGGGUCCGAGCGUUGUCCGGAAUUACUGGGCGUAAAGAGCUCGUAGGUGGUUUGUCGCGUUGUUCGUGAAAACUCACAGCUCAACUGUGGGCGUGCGGGCGAUACGGGCAGACUUGAGUACUGCAGGGGAGACUGGAAUCCUGGUGUAGCGGUGAAAUGCGUAGAUAUCAGGAGGAACACCGGUGGCGAAGGCGGGUCUCUGGGCAGUAACUGACGCUGAGGAGCGAAAGCGUGGGGGAGCGAACAGG